rnacentral:pre_miRNA from 1 species
UUUCAGUUUUUACGUAUAAUAUUUUGACUCUUCAUUUUAUUUAAAUUUUUUUUGCAAUUAAUAUUUUUAUUAUUACUAGAUGAUAAAACAUGAAUAUGACUUUAUAUGUGACUAAUUUUUUUAAGUUUUUAAUAAAUUGUUUAAAUAAGACGAAUGGUCAAACGUGGAGCACAAAAAUC